GAUGAACGCUAGCUACAGGCUUAACACAUGCAAGUCGCGGGGCAGCAUUUUCCUAGCUUGCUAGGGAAGAUGGCGACCGGCGCACGGGUGAGUAACGCGUAUCCAACCUUCCCAUGUCCACGGGAUAGCCCGUCGAAAGGCGGAUUAAUACCGUAUGAGGUCACAUGCGGGCAUCUAAAUGUGACGAAAGGUUUUGCGGACAUGGAUGGGGAUGCGUCCGAUUAGCUAGUUGGCGGGGUAACGGCCCACCAAGGCGACGAUCGGUAGGGGUUCUGAGAGGAAGGUCCCCCACAUUGGAACUGAGACACGGUCCAAACUCCUACGGGAGGCAGCAGUGGGGGAUAUUGCGCAAUGGGGGCAACCCUGACGCAGCAACGCCGCGUGAAGGAAGAAGGUUUUCGGAUUGUAAACUUCUUUUGUUAAGGACGAAGAAUGACGGUACUUAACGAAUAAGCUCCGGCUAACUAUGUG
rnacentral:rRNA from 1 species